rnacentral:lncRNA from 1 species
AAAAUACAAAACACACGUGACGGUGAAGGACCAGAUUUAUAAAUAAACGUUGACCAGUUAUAUUGUUAUUCUAAUGAGUUUCACAGCCAUCUUCCCUUCGAUAAGCUAUGUUCCAUCACUUGAUUCAUUUGGUAGGGGUGCAAGAUUAUCACAACAUUUCAGUCGUUCAAUAUUUGGAAUUCUGGGUAAGUAUGAUAUAGAUUUGUCAUGUAUAGAACGACACUUAUACGGCAGAAAAUAAAUGUCGCGACACAUUGACCAUUGUUCAAUCCUGUUAAACAGCAGGCUCAGCGUUUUUACGCCUGUAAACUGCAUAAUGUGAGGCAGGAGGACUAAUUAAAGUAUAAGUUUUUUUCACACUUUACUGAAUCAUUGAUUUUUCUCGUACUCGUAGAUACACUGAUUUGAGGAAACACUGAGGACCAUACAGUUAAUCUGCAAAAGGGAGUGUCGCGUUCAAGGUAUGAGAACCUAAUAUAAAGUCUUUAUAUUCAUAUCCGCUAAUUUAUCUCGAACGUGAUGCGGUACGUUGCUGCAGUGUCGGGUAUUUUCUAUAUUGAAACUUCACGGUGCAUAAAACUCUCAUUCAGAAUACAAAAUAUAUAAAAAUUAUAUGAGCAGACAGUUUAAGGACAACGUAUACUUUAUGUACUAGUUAAAAUAUGAGCAGCUGAUCUUUAUGAGCAUUUACAAUGGCGAGCGCGCAGCGCGAGCCAUUGUUAAAUGCCCAUAAAGUCAGUUGCGAAUAUAUUAACGUACUUGUAAAAUGAAUUUAUUUGUUUACUUUAUUAGUAUUCUCUGCCCAUGGGGAUCAUCUCACGCUUCAUUAGCAUGCUAUUAAAACUUAAAUUAGUAUUGUUAACUUUCAUAAACAUCCAUGCUUCUCAAUUAGUAUUGUUAACUUUUAUAAACACCCUCUACAGGGUGUCCCAAAAACAACGAAAACUAUUGAAAUCACCAAUAACAAUUUAAUUGUUAGAAUUUGAAUGUUUUAGCGCUCUGUUGGUUCCCACGAGUGCAUAAAUUAUUGACAUAAGUAAAUUUUAUGCAUAAAGAAACUGUUUAAGAAGCUGUUUUUAAUUCCCAGGAGCAGAAAAUUGCGCACUUUACCAGGAGAUAUUCCUAACUAAAUUCUAAUACAUGCACCUUGUCAAUAUUUUACGCAUCAUUACGUCUAGCUGUUUGGUAGGGCAUUCAAAUUUAACAAUAAGUGAUUGCAAUAGUUUUCGUUUUUUUUGGGACACCCUAUAGCAUGACUUUCUGAUCUUUAAUGCGGUUUACAAGUGUACAUGUGACCUAAAUACCGCUUCGUGAUUUUUACGUCUUGCUCACAUCUAGCAAUUAAGUUGGACCAAAGAUUAAGGUUGGACAUUUGAAUUGUACGUAGUCGAAUCAGUUUGCAUGCGCUGAACCGUCACCUAAUUGAAUACGAAUUAGGUUCGGCAUAUGACUAAGAAGCUCGUUAUAUUACUGGGUAAUAGCUUUACAUAUACAACGAUUACUUUGUGCUUUAUAUUAUAGAAUUUUGUAAAUUUAACUCUUCUGAGUGCUUGUUGAUCUUAAUCGGACUGAUUUAUGUCACGAACUGAAAUUUUCUUUGACCAACCGACAAUCUGGAAAGGUAAGUGAAUAAAUUGGGAAAC